CCUACGGGGGGCUGCAGUGAGGAAUAUUGGUCAAUGGGCGCGAGCCUGAACCAGCCAAGUCGCGUGAGGGAAGACGGUCCUAUGGAUUGUAAACCUCUUUUGUCGGGGAGCAAAAGACGCCACGCGUGGCGUUCCGAGAGUACCCGAAGAAAAAGCAUCGGCUACCUCCGUGCCAGCAGACGCGGUAAUACGGAGGAUGCGAGCGUUAUACGGAUUUAUUGGGUUUAAAGGGUGCGCAGGCGGAAGAUCAAGUCAGCGGUAAAAUUGAGAGGCUCAACCUCUUCGAGCCGUUGAAACUGGUUGUCUUGAGUGAGAGAGAAGUAUGCGGAAUGCGUGGUGUAGCGGUGAAAUGCAUAGAUAUCACGCAGAACUCCGAUUGCGAAGGCAGCAUACCGGCGCUCAACUGACGCUCAUGCACGAAAGUGUGGGUAUCGAACAGGAUUAGAUACCCUAGUAGUC
rnacentral:rRNA from 1 species